rnacentral:pre_miRNA from 14 species
GUAUGUGUGUGUAUGCAUGUAUGCAUAUAAACAUACACACACACACACACACACACACACACACA